UACGGGGGGAGCAAGCGUUGUUCGGAUUUACUGGGCGUAAAGGGCGCGUAGGCGGUCAGCACAAGUCAGUUGUGAAAUCUCCGGGCUUAACUCGGAAAGGUCAACUGAUACUGUGCGACUAGAGUGCAGAAGGGGCAACUGGAAUUCUCGGUGUAGCGGUGAAAUGCGUAGAUAUCGAGAGGAACACCUGCGGCGAAGGCGGGUUGCUGGGCUGACACUGACGCUGGUGCGCGAAAGCCAGGGGAGCGAACGGG
rnacentral:rRNA from 1 species